AACUUCUUGGGGACUGUGUUUACAGGAGAAAUGUCACAAUCCUGAACAACGGGGCAAAAGUGGAGACCGUAACGUAUGAGAAAGCUGCCUGGGCAGGCACAAGAGAUGUAACCUCCUGAAUUUUUUGCCUUGUAGGAGACUCAAUCAGAAGGAUCUCAGAACUCUCAAGAAAAGAGAAUGAAUGUUGCUAACAGGAAGACAACGACUAUUCCACAAGAAAAACAUCACCUACCAUCACCUGCCAGGUGCACUUCUGUCUACAUCACCCAAAGGAGCUACUUGGAAAUGAAUGUCAAACACUAAUAACAUUUUGUGUUAUUUACUCUGCUCAUAUUAACACAUUGUAAGUUGUUCUUGCUACUUUGUCAAGUUUCCAUGAGAGAACUCACAACUCAUUGUCCACCUGUACAUCCAGAGUCCUGAGUCACAGUUAAUUGCAUUUCUGCACCUAAAUCCCCAUCUGCCACUGUCAAAGUUUAAUUUUGGAAAGCUGCACGCAAAUACAUUUAACCUUAGUGGAAAUGCAUAUUCCAACAAUGUUUACUCUCCUCACUCAUCCUUGGGCUGAUUUUAAAAAAACAGGUUGCAGAGGAAGGCAGGGUGGUUUUGCCCAUUGUUACAGUGGGGGAUGGAGACAUUUCCAUUUGGUAUUUCCUUUUAAACUGGAUGUUGAAUCUCCAGCUAAUGUAGUUGCACUGGUCUCUGCCAUUCACUGCAGCUGGCCCAAGACUUCCAGUAAACACCUCACAGAGCAAUGGUUUUGUCCAAACAAGUAGGCCAACAAAGCUCAAGGCAUGAAAUGCCCAACUGAGUAAAUACUUAGCACAUACAAGAUAAAGGAGACCUUUAAGCCCAGAAAAGCAAGCCUUGCCUACAGUUACUGUUAGGGUACUUUAUCAAUUAACGAUUGUUAUGCUGUUAGAAUUGUUCCAAAAUACUAGUUUUACUCAUCUCUGCCUGUGAACCGGGAGAGACGUGGUCUGUGGAGGAGAAAGGAGCAGCAAAAAUCAGUGACAUCUCUUGAUAAUGUCCAUCAGGUACUUUUAUAGAGGAAAGCCAAAGACCAAGAGCCCAAGCCAGAGUUGCUGGAAUGGUCUCACAGAAUGAUUCGGUUUUUCUGUGUUCAAAAAACCUAAAGUGCUGAUUAAAUUUUUUGCCCAGGCCAACUUUACUUCUAAUUGCCCUAAAAGAGCAAGGGAAGGGCCAGCCCUGCUGUCUGGAAAAACUUCUUCAGUUUUCUUUUUUUCCCCUGCCCUUUUCUUCAAGAAUGUUUGUUCAGGGUUUUGCAAGGAAUUUAACAAUGCAAAGAGAACUCCUUUUGAAAUCAUUUAUUCAGAAAUACGUUGAACAAUUCUCUCCAUUUCUGAUCUUACAUUUUAUGCAGGUGAAAGAAAGAUCAGAAAGGAGGAAAAACCUGUACUACAGGCAAACUCUCUGUACAGAGCAAGCUGAUCCUGUCUCCAAACAAGCACAUUCCCUGUCCCUCCUGUCAUGCUUCAUGUCAGUUUUAGUAGCCUGGUUUUGGGGUUCAAUCUCAUUAUGGCAGCUUAGAGGAGAAGGUGAUGUGGUGUUCUGUUGAGGUGAUAGGAUCCUUGAAUUUGUUUGUCUGUCUCCUCCAAAAUAUGAAACCAAACACUGUUUCUGUUUCCCCUUUUUGCACUUGUUCUCCCUAGUGGAGUCCAGUCUCCUUUCAUUUUCCAAACUGUUCAUGCAAAUUAUUUGUGCACAGAGAUGUAGCAUUGGUUAAAUUCAUUUGUCCAUGAUGAGGUCUUGCAGUAUUUUCAGAGCUGAAUACAUCCAUACAAAAGAUAUUUCUAUGAAUAUAAAAA